CAUUGACAGCCACUGUACGGAUCACUCAAUGUGUGUGUGUGCGGAUAUGGUAAACAAGCUCAUUACAGCAUGAGCAGUAGGCAUGGAAUGUUAUCGAGAAAUCCGUGUGGUUGGUAGGGGUUCAUUCGGAGCAGUGCAUCUCUGCGAGAGGCGUUCAGAUGGCCAGCAGGUGGUCGUGAAGCAUGUAUCCAUCUCGCAGAUGACUGACAGCGAAAUGGCGGCGAGCUGCACGGAGGUGCGUGUGCUGUCGAUGGUGCAGCACCCUCUGGUCGUGCGCUACCUGGACAGCGUGGUGCAGGAG